rnacentral:rRNA from 1 species
UGAGGAAUAUUGGUCAAUGGGCGAAAGCCUGAACCAGCCAAGUAGCGUGCAGGAUGACGGCCCUACGGGUUGUAAACUGCUUUUAGGCGGGGGUAAAGGAGCGGACGUGUUCCGCUUUUGCAAGUACCGCCAGAAAAAGGACCGGCUAAUUCCGUGCCAGCAGCCGCGGUAAUGCGGAAGGUCCGGGCGUUAUCCGGAUUUAUUGGGUUUAAAGGGAGCGUAGGCGGGCUAUUAAGUCAGCUGUGAAAUCCGGCGGCUCAACCGUCGGACUGCAGUUGAUACUGGAAGCCUUGAGUUCACACAGGGAUGCCGGAAUUCAUGGUGUAGCGGUGAAACGCUCAGAUAUCAUGAAGAACCCCGAUCG